rnacentral:rRNA from 1 species
GAUGAACGCUGGCGGCGUGCCUAAUACAUGCAAGUCGAGCGAACGGACGAGAAGCUUGCUUCUCUGAUGUUAGCGGCGGACGGGUGAGUAACACGUGGAUAACCUACCUAUAAGACUGGGAUAACUUCGGGAAACCGGAGCUAAUACCGGAUAAUAUUUUGAACCGCAUGGUUCAAAAGUGAAAGACGGUCUUGCUGUCACUUAUAGAUGGAUCCGCGCUGCAUUAGCUAGUUGGUAAGGUAACGGCUUACCAAGGCAACGAUGCAUAGCCGACCUGAGAGGGUGUUCGGCCACACUGGAACUGAGACACGGGCCAGACGCCUACGGGAAGCAGCGGUAGGGACUCUUCCGGCAUGGGCGAGAGCCUGACGGAGCAACGCCGCGUGAGUGAUGAAGGUCUUCGGAUCGUAAAACUCUGUUAUUAGGGAAGAACAUAUGUGUAAGUAACUGUGCACAUCUUGACGGUACCUAAUCAGAAAGCCACGGCUAAGUACGUG